rnacentral:rRNA from 1 species
AACGAACGCUGGCGGCAGGCUUAAUACAUGCAAGUCGAACGGGCGCGAGCAAUCGCGUCAGUGGCAGACGGGUGAGUAACACGUGGGAACCUUCCUCGUUGUACGGAACAACUCAGGGAAACUUGAGCUAAUACCGUAUAAGUCCGAGAGGAGAAAGAUUUAUCGCAAUGAGACGGGCCCGCGUCGGAUUAGGUAGUUGGUGAGGUAACGGCUCACCAAGCCGACGAUCCGUAGCUGANCUGAGAGGAUGAUCAGCCACACUGGGACUGAGACACGGCCCAGACUCCUACGGGAGGCAGCAGUAGGGAAUCUUGGACAAUGGGCGCAAGCCUGAUCCAGCCAUGCCGCGUGAGUGAAGAAGGCC